UACAGAGGUCUCAAGCGUUGUUCGGAUUCAUUGGGCGUAAAGGGUGCGCAGGUGGUCGGGUAAGUCUGAUGUGAAAUCCCGCAGCUCAACUGCGGAAUGGCAUUGGAUACUAUUUGGCUAGAGGGUUGGAGGGGGGACUGGAAUUCUCGGUGUAGCAGUGAAAUGCGUAGAUAUCGAGAGGAACACCAGUGGCGAAAGCGAGUCCCUGGACAACUCCUGACGCUGAGGCACGAAAGCUAGGGGAGCAAACAGG
rnacentral:rRNA from 1 species